GACGAACCGUACGAACGUUAUUCGGAUUCACUGGGCUUAAAGGGUGCGUAGGCGGCCCGGAAAGUUGGGUGUGAAAGCCCUCGGCUUAACCGAGGAAUUGCGCCCAAAACUACCGGGCUCGAGGGAGACAGAGGUGAGCGGAACUUAGGGUGGAGCGGUGAAAUGCGUUGAUAUCCUAAGGAACACCAGGAGCGAAAGCGGCUCACUGGGUCUCUUCUGACGCUGAGGCACGAAAGCUAGGGGAGCGAACGGG
rnacentral:rRNA from 1 species